rnacentral:lncRNA from 1 species
GCUUAAGUUUCACACUUAAGCACACAAGCUUAAGUUUCCUCAAGUAAAUAGUAAAGUAUAUAAAAAUAUACAAAUGCUCUUAGAUGAACCUAAAUAGAGCAAAUACAAAUAUUACAGAGUAUUUGGCUAAAGUGCAAAAACACUUGAGAAAGGUUCAGAGCUUGUAUAUUACAGAGUUCAGAGUUUGUUCAGCGCACGUUCUAUUCUUGAUAAUUGUAUCUUUUAGUUGCAGCUGAUCCUUCUAGUAUAUAUACCACUAGAAAAGAGUCGUUGCAAAAGGAGCCGUUGGAGUUGAUAACCUUUUGUCUUCAAGCAGUCUGUCUUGAUGCAGUUUGGUUGUAUCCAAAACUAAGAAAGAGUUUCA